AGUGAACGCUGGCGGUAGGCCUAACACAUGCAAGUCGAACGGCAGCACAGUAAGAACUUGCUCUUACGGGUGGCGCGUGGCGGACGGGUGAGGAAUACAUCGGAAUCUACUUUUUCGUGGGGGAUAACGUAGGGAAACUUACGCGAGUAACGCAUACGACCUACUGGUGAAAGCAGGGGAUCUUCGGACCUUUCGGGAUGGAAUAGGCCGAUGUCGGAUUAGCUAGUUGGCGGGGUAAAGGCCCACCAAGGCGACGAUCCGUAGCUGGUCUGAGAGGAUGAUCAGCCACACUGGAACUGAGACACGGUCCAGACUCCUACGGGAGGCAGCAGCGGCGAAUAUUGGACAAUGGGCGCAAGCCUGAUCCAGCCAUACCGCGUGGGUGAAGAAGGCCUUCGGGUUCUAAAGCCCUUUUGUUGGGAAAGAAAAGCAGCAGGUUAAUACCCCGCUGUUAUGACGGUACCCAAAGAAUAAGCACCGGCUAACUUCGUG
rnacentral:rRNA from 1 species